rnacentral:rRNA from 1 species
UGCAUGGUUGUCGUCAGCUCGUGUCGUGAGAUGUAGGUUAAGUCCUUGAACGAGCGCAACCCCUUUCGUCAGUUGCAAACCAGCAAUGGCGCACCCUGACGAUACUGCCAACUAAAAGUUGGAGGAAGGAGGGGAUGACGUCAAAUCCUCAUGGCCUUUAUGUCCAGGGCUACACACAUGCGACAAUGGUCGGUACAACGGGUUGCAACACCGCGAGGUGAAGCCAAUCCCUAAAAACCGACCUCAGUUCAGAUUGCAGACUGCAAUUCGUCUACAUGAAGGUGGAGUUGCUAGUAACCGCGGGUCAGCUACACCGCCGGUGAACCUAUGUUCCGGGCCUU